rnacentral:lncRNA from 1 species
UAGCAUAAUACUAAAAGGAGGGAUGCAAAAGUGUCUGACUGUUCCCAGCUCAGCCACAGAAUUAAGGAACUUCUCUAGGAUAGAGAAUUUCUGAAUUUGGACCUUUUCAGACUGAACAGGAAAUGAAACUCAGCUCUGCAAAUACUACAGACAGUGCUCUCACCAUUCAGCUUCUCCUGUGAAAGAUCACCCACUUUGCACAGCCCAAUUUUAUGUGAAGGAGAAGAAAGAGAGAACAAUAAAGUCAGAGAAGAACAUGCCCAGGAUUCUGCAGCACACAGCUGAGCCUGACUCUUCAUUUUGUUUCUGAUCAUUCCAAUCCCAGCUAUUUCCUUUGGGAGGACAUUAAAGUCAACCCUGAAACAUCAACAGGACAUCUAAGGAAAAGGAAUGGUAUUCAGACACAGCUGUCCGUAUGUGUCCUAAAAAUUUGUUUGGGGAUCUUAUAUUCAUCAGCACAAGCAUGACAGGUGAGAAAAUUAUAAACUGAUUCCAAGAAAGAAGCCCAAAACAGAGUUGUUUGUGGUUUUGUUUUCCAAAUGAGUAAGAAGGUAUGAGUUCUUUACAACUCAGACAUAUUGCAUAACUUUAUUGGAAAUUUAGACCUCUACUGAUUUCAAAAGAGAAGUCUGGGAAGCUUUUGAUAUUGGCUCUUUCUGACAAUCAGAUCUCAC